rnacentral:miRNA from 1 species
CACGUGUGUGAGCUCAGCCGG